GGGAAACAUUAUAAAGUUGAGUCAGGAAUAUGGCAAACCUCCAACCAGAGUAAACUAUUUAAAAAAUUCACAUUUUCUUGUGGCCUUCAGUUUUUUCUCCUUGACAUCCUCUGUUCUAUCAAGACAUUAAGUCCCAUGGCCCAUGCAAAAGACACUUGGUGCUGUGUUCUGAGAUUAUCAUUUUGAUCUACAUCUGACUACCAUUUUUCCAGCCAAGACCAGCCUUCCUUGUAAAUAAAGAUCUGUUCAGAGGAUAUGAAAGAAUACAUAUUCAAGGAGUGCUCUAUUCCUUUAGCUGUUCAAAGGAUUUGAGGACUUUGUUUGUUUUGAAACAAGUAACCGGCUUUCUCUAACCACGUAACCUCAACCUCACAGGACAGCCAGCAGGAAGUCAGAAAUGAAGAACAGCCGAUGACCUGGGUGCACUCUCUGGGUGCAGCCUGCUGUUGUCCUGUCCCCACCCUUGUCCUGUUUUUCACUUGUCUUGUUGUUUUUAAGAAAAAUUUUUGUCUGCUCUGAGGAUCUUCUGCUGAUCUCAGGUUUUUCUUUCAGGCAGGAGGCAGGAACAUGCAGGAUGGGAAUGGGAAAGUAAACAGGAGUGGCCAUGGACUCCUGGCCUCUUCUCUCCAUGAGGUUUUCUCACCGAGAGCCUGCUCCAGGGAAGGUGGUUGGCCAAGGCCUGGGGAGCAGCUUUGUGAGGCCUAGGAAGACCCCAGAAGAGGACUUUGCUGAGAAGAGAGCAGACAAGAAGUCAGGAGUGGGGUAUUAAAUAACAUCUAUUUGAGGGCAAGAGCGGAACACAAGAGACAUAUCCAGAAGGAGAAAAGAGAGAGAAAAUGAAAAGGGAAUUAAUUGGUGAAGUGGGAUGUACCAAUUUUUCCUCAGGGUUGCCUGUAUUCAAAAUACAAAAAUACUCUGUGAGUAUGAAAGUAUUCAAAAAUAUUCGGUGAGCAAUUUUCAGUGUACAUUAUUUAUCAAAUAAGCAUUUUUUUCUGCACCUUGGCACAUAAUAGGUGCUCAAUAAAAGUUAUUGUUAUUACUGGUAUUAGUACUGUUGCUGUAAUGCUAUUACUGCAUGCCAUGUUAACAUACUGUUCUGGGUUCUAGGGAUAGAGAGGGGCAAAACCUAGUCUGUGUCCUCAAGAACUUACAGCCCAGAAGGG
rnacentral:lncRNA from 10 species